UACAGAGGGUGCGAGCGUUAAUCGGAAUUACUGGGCGUAAAGCGUGCGUAGACGGCUAUCUAAGUCGGGUGUGAAAGCCCUCAGCUCAACUGAGGAAGUGCGCCCGAAACUGCAUGGCUUGAAUACCGGAGAGGAUGGCGGAAUUCCCCAAGUAGAGGUGAAAUUCGUAGAUAUGGGGGAGGAACACCGGUGGCGAAGGCGGCCAUCUGGACGGCUAUUGACGCUGAGACGCGAAAGCAUGGGGGAGCAAACAGG
rnacentral:rRNA from 1 species